rnacentral:rRNA from 1 species
CGAAUUAAGAGUGUUCAACGCAGGCACAUUCAAUUUUCUGCCACCGAAUACAUUAGCAUGGGAUAAUGGAAUAGGACCCUGUCCUCCUUUUUUCAGUUGGUUAAUUCAUGAGAGAGGAACAGGGUAAUGAUUAAUAGGGAUAGUUGGGGGCAUUAAUAUUUAAUUGUCAGAGGUGAAAUUCUUGGAUUUAUGAGAGAUUAACUUCUGCGAAAGCAUCUGCCAAGGAUGUUUUCAUUACUCAAGAACGAAAGUUAGGGGAUCGAAGACGAUCAGAUACCGUCGUAGUCUUAACCAUAAACGAUGCCAACCAGCGGUUAGGAGACGUUGAAGACCAAACACCUCUAUAUAUAAUUCAGUAUAUGGCUAGCAGUGGCUGUAUAUUGUUUGUGUAUAGUUACCGUGAAUGACUCCCCUAACCGAUUGUGAGAAAAAAGG